rnacentral:rRNA from 1 species
GUUAGCCUACGGGGGGCAGCAGUGGGGGAUAUUGCACAAUGGGGGGAACCCUGAUGCAGCGACGCCGCGUGGGUGAAGGAGCGUUUCGGCGCGUAAAGCCCUAUCGGCAGGGAAGAAGGGGGACGGUACCUGACUAAGAAGCCCCGGCUAACUACGUGACCGCAGUCGCCGUAAUACGUAGGGGGCAAGCGUUAUCCGGAUUUACUGGGUGUAAAGGGGGCGCAGACGGCAGCGCAAGCCACGC